UACGUAGGGGGCAAACGUCGUCCGGAUUUACUGGGCGUAAAGGGCGCGUAGGCGGCGCGGUAAGUCACUUGUGAAAUCUCUGAGCUUAACUCAGAACGGCCAAGUGAUACUGCAGUGCUAGAGUGCAGAAGGGGCAAUCGGAAUUCUUGGUGUAGCGGUGAAAUGCGUAGAUAUCAAGAGGAACACCUGAGGUGAAGACGGGUUGCUAGGCUGACACUGACGCUGAGGCGCGAAAGUGUGGGGAGCAAACAGG
rnacentral:rRNA from 1 species